UACAAAAGGUGCGAGCGUUAUUCAUAUUUAUUGGGCGUAAAGGGUAUGUAGGCGGAGUUUAAAAUUUAGUUGAAAAAGCUGGAGUCGUAACUGCAGCACCAGACUUUUAGAUUUUUUCUCUUUUUUUCGAGUUAGUCUCAGGUCGGAGGAACUUCCAGCGAAAAGGUAGAAUUUUACAAUUCUGGAAGGACCACCUAAGGCAAAGGCAUCUCUCCAGAGCUAACUGACGCUGAGGUACGGAAGCGUAGGGAGCAAACAGG
rnacentral:rRNA from 1 species